CUGGAGGAUAGUAUUCUAUAAUUGGAGAGUCUUCACUAGUCAUCAAAUGCUGUGAACACAGAAUAUAACAAAGGAAAACUGUUUCUGUCUUUACCAAUCUCAAGAUCAAUGAAGACAAAGCAAGAGGAGAAGGAACCUGAGGUUAAUACCUAAGUAGCUUCAAGGGCCUCUGUGACUACUGUGACAUUGACAAAGCUAAAGAAUUGAACAGAGAAUAGGUGUGAGACCGAAUAAAGAAUAGGGCAGAUCACUCCCAAAGAU